rnacentral:rRNA from 1 species
AUGAUGGAGAAGUACUUGGAAAUAAGGACGAAGCAGGUGGAGGAUGAGAGGAAUAAGCCAAGGGUCGUGGAUGAGUACUCUAUCAAAACUGCAUUGAUCUGCUGAAAACAAUGGAGAUCUGAAGAAGAAGUCAAGGCUUUCCGAGUCUUCAAGAUCCCCGAGAACCGAGAGAUUUUCAUGAGUGCUAGACCGGAGACUGCUCUUAUGUGGCUGAGAGAUGAAAUGGAAUAA